ensembl:snoRNA
AGUGUGGCCUUCACCACCACUGCAGCAAUGCCAGAUUGUUAACCCACUGUGCCACAAAGAAACCUCCAAUGUCGAUCAUUUUUUAUUUUACCUUUAUGAGGGUAAAAUCAUGAUAGAUUAACACGAAUAAUU